rnacentral:rRNA from 1 species
UGGGGAAUCUUCCGCAAUGGACGAGAGUCUGACGGAGCAACGCCGCGUGUAUGAUGAGGGUCUUCGGAUUGUAAAGUACUGUCAUUGGGGAAGAACGGUUUUCUUGAGAAUAUUGAGAAGACAUGACGGUACCCAAGGAGGAAGCCCCGGCUAACUACGUGCCAGCAGCCGCGGUAAUACGUAGGGGGCAAGCGUUGUCCGGAAUUAUUGGGCGUAAAGGGCGCGUAGGCGGGCCUUUAAGUCCGGUGUGAAAGAUCAGGGCUCAACCCUGAGAGUGCAUCGGAAACUGGAGGCCUUGAGGACAGGAGAGGAAAGUGGAAUUCCACGUGUAGCGGUGAAAUGCGUAGACAUGUGGAGGAACACCAGUGGCGAAGGCGACUUUCUGGACUGUAACUGACGCUGAGGCGCGAAAGCGUGGGGAGCAAACAGGAUUAGAUACCCUGGUAGUCCACGCCGUAAACGAUGAGUG